rnacentral:rRNA from 1 species
GAUGAACGCUGGCGGCGUGCUUAACACAUGCAAGUCGAACGGAAAGGCGCUGCUCUUGCGGGGUGCUCGUGUGGCGCAGGGGUGUGUAACACGUGAGUAUCCUGCGCUUGACUGUGUGAUAACGUCAGGGAACUGUGGAUAAUACCGGCGAGGAGCUCCUGCAGCAUGGUGGGGGUAGGAAAGUUUCGGCGGUGGGGGAUGGACUCGCGGCGUAUUAGCUAGUUGGUGGGGUAGUUGCCUAACAAGCCGUUGACGGGUAGCCGGCCUGAGCGAACGACCGGCCACACUGGAGCUGAGCCACGGCCCAGACUCCUGCGGGAGGCAGCAGUGGGCAACUUUGGACAAUGGGGGCAAACCUGACCCAGCGAGGCCGCGUGCGAGAAGAAGGCCUUCGGUUCGUAAACCGCUCUUGUGCGGGAAGAACCGCUUUGGCCUAAUACGAAGGGUGGAUGACGGUACCGGAUGAAUAAGCACCGGCUAACUACGUG